UGGGCUAUAGCUUAAAAAGCAUCUCAGUUACGUUGGGAAGAUCACUAGUUUUUGGUGUGGCUUAA
rnacentral:tRNA from 1 species